GUGGAUGACGACCACUCCAUCCCACUGAAAGGUGAUGACUGCACGUCAGGCCGACA
rnacentral:snoRNA from 1 species